ACUGUGCAAAGGUAGCAUAAUCAUUAGUUUCUUAAUUGGAAUCUGGAAUGAAAGGUUUGAUGAAAAAUAAGCUGUCCCAUUUUAAUUGUUUUAGAAUUUUAUUUUUAAGUUAAAAAGCUUAAAUUUUUUAUAAAGCCGGGAAGACCCUAUGGAGUUUGAUAUUUUUAUCUUUUUAAAACAAAGGUUUAUUGUUAUUUCGAGGUUUAUAAAAUAUUUUGUUGGGGUGAUGAAAAAAUUUAAUUAACUUUUUGUUAUUAGUUCAUGGAUAAGUGAUUUGUUGAUCCUAUUUUUUAGAUUAAAAGAAAAAAUUACCUUAGGGAUAACAGCGUAAUUUUUUUGGAAAGUUCUUAUUGAUAAAAAAGUUUGCGACCUCGAUGUUGGAUUAAAAUUAAUUUUA
rnacentral:rRNA from 1 species